CGAGUGGCGGACGGGUGAGUAAUGUCUGGGAAACUGCCUGAUGGAGGGGGAUAACUACUGGAAACGGUAGCUAAUACCGCAUAAUGUCGCAAGACCAAAGAGGGGGACCUUCGGGCCUCUUGCCAUCAGAUGUGCCCAGAUGGGAUUAGCUAGUAGGUGGGGUAACGGCUCACCUAGGCGACGAUCCCUAGCUGGUCUGAGAGGAUGACCAGCCACACUGGAACUGAGACACGGUCCAGACUCCUACGGGAGGCAGCAGUGGGGAAUAUUGCACAAUGGGCGCAAGCCUGAUGCAGCCAUGCCGCGUGUAUGAAGAAGGCCUUCGGGUUGUAAAGUACUUUCAGCGGGGAGGAAGGUGUUGUGGUUAAUAACCACAGCAAUUGACGUUACCCGCAGAAGAAGCACCGGCUAACUCCGUGCCAGCAGCCGCGGUAAUACGGAGGGUGCAAGCGUUAAUCGGAAUUACUGGGCGUAAAGCGCACGCAGGCGGUCUGUCAAGUCGGAUGUGAAAUCCCCGGGCUCAACCUGGGAACUGCAUUCGAAACUGGCAGGCUGGAGUCUUGUAGAGGGGGGUAGAAGAACCUUACCUGGUCUUGACAUCCACAGAACUUUCCAGAGAUGGAUUGGUGCCUUCGGGAACUGUGAGACAGGUGCUGCAUGGCUGUCGUCAGCUCGUGUUGUGAAAUGUUGGGUUAAGUCCCGCAACGAGCGCAACCCUUAUCCUUUGUUGCCAGCGGUUAGGCCGGGAACUCAAAGGAGACUGCCAGUGAUAAACUGGAGGAAGGUGGGGAUGACGUCAAGUCAUCAUGGCCCUUACGACCAGGGCUACACACGUGCUACAAUGGCGCAUACAAAGAGAAGCGACCUCGCGAGAGCAAGCGGACCUCAUAAAGUGCGUCGUAGUCCGGAUUGGAGUCUGCAACUCCGACUCCAUGA
rnacentral:rRNA from 1 species